rnacentral:lncRNA from 1 species
CGUGCCUUGUUGUAAAGAACAAUUGAUUUUUCUGCCAAGCAGAGCAGCUGCAGUGCGUGUAGGAGAGGGUGUUGCGGGGUGUAGACGCCUCCCGCACCCAGAUCCGCCCUCCAGAGGCCAGGUCUGCCCGCCCCCGAGGCCCCUGGAGCUGAGAGCCUCCCGUCCCCUCCUCAGCCCCAGGAACCUCCAGGCUUCUGCCUGCCUCUGGGUUUGCCUAUCCAGCUCGUUGCCUGUGUUUCAUUCACACACGUGAGGCUUGUUGUCUUUCGGGGCCCAUCCGUUCUUGGGGACCAAGUGAUCCGUGUCUCCUUUAUCCACUUAUUCAGUGACAGUACCUGGGUCCUUUCCACCCUGACUGUUGUGAGCAGAUCUGCUUUGAGUGUGUGUGUGUGAGAGAGAGAGAGUGCAGGUGUGUGUGAGUGCCUGCGUGUGUGUGUGAGUGCGUGCGAGUGUGUGAGUGGGUGGGUAGGUGUGAGUGCGUGCGUGUGAGUGCGUGGGUGUGGGUGGGUGUGAGUGCGGGUUGGUGGGUGUGAGUGUGUGUGAGUGCGUGGGUGUGGGUGCGUGAGUGUGUGAGUGCGUGGGUGGGUGUGAGGGCGUGGGUGUGGGUGUGUGAGUGCCUGUGUGUGUGUGAGUGAGUGCCUGUGUGUGUGUGUUGGGGGGUGUUUGUGAGAAGAGCACCAGGUCUCACGUGUGUAAAGCACAUUCCUGGGGUGGGCCUGCUGCCUCGGGGGAUUCUGUUUACCUUUCCGAGGAACCGUCUGUGUUCCAUGUGAGUGCGUGGGUGGGUGUGAGGGCGUGGGUGUGGGUGUGUGAGUGCCUGUGUGUGUGUGAGUGAGUGCCUGUGUGUGUGUGUUGGGGGGUGUUUGUGAGAAGAGCACCAGGUCUCACGUGUGUAAAGCACAUUCCUGGGGUGGGCCUGCUGCCUCGGGGGAUUCUGUUUACCUUUCCGAGGAACCGUCUGUGUUCCAGCACAGCGGGACCCAGUCCCGCCAACGUGUGUAAAGCACAUUCCUGGGGUGGGCCUGCUGCCUCGGGGGAUUCUGUUUACCUUUCCGAGGAACCGUCUGUGUUCCAGCACAGGCAGCAGGGUGCUCCUGUGGGGGUUGGGGGUCCAGUCCGGCCUGAACGUGUGGCCACGGUCUCUGCAGAACAGCGUGAACUUUGUGGACGACAGCUUCCCCCCCGGGCCCAAGUCUGUGGGCUUCCCUGCAGGCGACAGUGUCCAGCAGCGCGUGCGACAGUGGCUGCGGCCCCACGAGAUCAACUGCUCUGUCUUCAGGGACCACAGCGCGUCCUGGUCCGUGUUCCACACUCUCCGGCCCUCGGACAUCCUGCAGGGGCUCCUGGGGAACUGCUGGUGAGCUCGGGGCGUCCUCGGGCUGGCCUUUC